rnacentral:rRNA from 1 species
UAUGUGAUCGUCUCUCGCAUAUCAAUAAGCGGAGGAAAAGAAACUAACAAGGAUUCCCCUAGUAACGGCGAGUGAAGCGGGAAGAGCUCAAAUUUGAAAUCUUAAAGGGUUUCCCUUUACGAAUUGUAGUUUAAAGAAGUGUUUUCUGUUGAGGUUUUGGUAAAAGUUCUUUGGAAUAGGACAUCAUAGAGGGUGAGAAUCCCGUAUUUGACCUUUACUUUCAACUUUGUGAUACACUUUCAAAGAGUCGGAUUGUUUGGGAAUGCAGUCCAAAAUGGGUGGUAAAUUUCAUCUAAAGCUAAAUAUUGGCGAGAGACCGAUAGCGAACAAGUACCGUGAGGGAAAGAUGAAAAGAACUUUGAAAAGAGAGUUGAAACAGUACGUGAAAUUGUCAAAAGGGAAGCGUUUGACACCAGUGUUGUUUUUCUGAAAAUCAAUUAAAGAACUGUUUAUGCUAAGUUGUUUAGACUUUAUCAGCUAACUGUUUAGUUUUGAGCUUUUCUUUAAUGCACCUUUUCAGUUAACAAGUCAACAUCAAUUUCUUUUGCUGUAAAAAAGCUUGAGGAAGGUGGCUUGAGAUUCGUCUUAAGUGUUUAUAGCCUCUUGCCUAUGCAGUCGGAGAGAUUGAGGUCUGCAGCGUAGAUCCUUCGGGGCUAAAUGCAUUUGUGCUAAGUUAUAGCAUUUUAUAGACAACUUGUUGACUAUGAUUUGUCUUGUAGCUUACUCGCUUAUGUUAUUUUACCUACGCUUAGGAUGUUGACACACGCGCGUGCUCG